CCCUGGCUGGUCUGAGUUACUGGGAACUUGAGGUUUUCAAGGAAGUCCUGCGUAAAAUUCAUUACAAACAUUAGUCAGACAUCCAAAGAAUCAUCUACAUGAGGACAGACCUGCAGGACACGGUGUUUUUCAUGGUCCUGACUUACGGUGAGCGGUCAGUGGAGGAGACCAUGGAGGGUUUAAACGAGAUGAAGGGGGCUGAUCUGGCUCAGAGGCCGUCAGACUGCAGCCCAGAACCCAAAAAGAAACACUCUGUGGAUGAACGACGCUCUGCACUGAUCCACAAAGUGGCAAUGGUGGCAGCUGUGAAACAACUGCUUUUGGAAGCUUCG